CAGCAGCCGCGGUAAAACGGAGGGUGCAAGCGUUAAUCGGAAUUACUGGGCGUAAAGCGCACGCAGGCGGUUUGUUAAGUCAGAUGUGAAAUCCCCGAGCUUAACUUGGGAACUGCAUUUGAAACUGUCAGGCUGGAGUCUUGUAGAGGGGGGUGGAAUUCCAGGUGUAGCGGUGAAAUGCGUAGAGAUCUGGAGGAAUACCGGUGGCGAAGGCGGCCCCCUGGACAAAGACUGACGCUCAGGUGCGAAAGCGUGGGGAGCAAACAGGAUUAGAUACCCGGGUAGUCCCUGUCUCUUAUAC
rnacentral:rRNA from 1 species